ACGAGUGGCGGACGGGUGAGUAAUGUCUGGGAAACUGCCUGAUGGAGGGGGAUAACUACUGGAAACGGUAGCUAAUACCGCAUAACGUCGAAAGACCAAAGAGGGGGACCUUCGGGCCUCUUGCCAUCGGAUGUGCCCAGACGGGAUUAGCUUGUUGGUGGGGUAAUGGCUCACCAAGGCGACGAUCCCUAGCUGGUCUGAGAGGAUGACCAGCCACACUGGAACUGAGACACGGUCCAGACUCCUACGGGAGGCAGCAUG
rnacentral:rRNA from 1 species